CUUGGCUGAACAAGUUGCUCCACUUGCUCAGCUGGCUGUCCCUCGCCAACGCACAGGCACGGCCGGGCGUAAGUACACCCGUUAUGCCAAAGGCUAAAGACUGUGAAACAGAGAGGGGCUGUGCUGGGCAAGGAAGCCCAGGCAGGCAGGAAUUAUUCAGAUAACACGAGUUCCUUCCUAAAAAAAAUCACUAUUAAUUGCAGGUAUCACCCUUCCCCUGCAGGUCUCACCUUGCCUCGUUGCAACAUGGAGUCGCAAAGCCCCCAAGGGCUUUGUUUUGAAUUGAUUAUUUUGUGCACCAGACGGCAGCUAUCAUCCCUCUAUGCCCAGGCUUCGCCCUCCAUGUAGCGACCAUCCUCGGGGAGGAAGGAAGGUUUUCCCCUCCCUCCUGCCUUCCCUGAGGCCACCCGUGUUGUCAUGGCAAUUCAGAUGCUCCUGCAGCAGGCACGGGGACAUCUCCGGGUUUCAGUGAGUGUUUGCUGGAUGUGCCCAGCUGGUGCUGCACAGCCAACUCUGCCCAGCAAAUCUCUGCGCACCUCACGCUUUGACCUGCGUUUCCGUGCCCAGAAAGAGGAAGGUGAGAAGCUGCAGAUUGAGAGCUGCUUUAAAGAAACGGACAGGCUCUGUGCUGGCGCUGGUCAGCAUGACGGCACUGAGGACGUGGAGCAAGGGCAGAAGACGGCAUCUGCUAUCCUCUUCCAUGUUAUUUUCAUGAUCUUAGCAUGCACAAUAAAGGGCCAGCACUGA
rnacentral:lncRNA from 1 species